rnacentral:rRNA from 1 species
CGUAGGCGCGAGCGUUGUCCGGAAUUAUUGGGCGUAAAGAGCUUGUAGGCGGUUUGUCGCGUCUGCUGUGAAAGGCCGGAGCUUAACUCCGUGUAUUGCAGUGGGUACGGGCGAGACUAGAGUGCAGUAGGGGAGACUGGAACUCCUGGUGUAGCGGUGGAAUGCGCAGAUAUCAGGAAGAACACCGAUGGCGAAGGCAGGUCUCUGGGCUGUAACUGACGCUGAGAAGCGAAAGCAUGGGGAGCGAACAGGAUU